GAUGAAGAACGUAGCGAAAUGCGAUAAGUAAUGUGAAUUGCAGAAUUCAGUGAAUCAUCGAAUCUUUGAACGCACAUUGCGCCCGCCAGUAUUCUGGCGGGCAUGCCUGUUCGAGCGUCAUUUCAACCAUCAAGCCCCAGGCUUGUGUUGGGGACCUGCGGCUGCCGCAGGCCCUGAAAACCAGUGGCGGGCUCGCUGUCACACCGGGCGUAGUAGAUUUUAUCUCGCUCAGGGCGUGCUGCGGGUUCCGGCCGUUAAAAAGCCUUUUUUACCCAAGGUUGACCUCGGAUCAGGUAGGAAGACCCGCUGAACUUAAGCAUAUCAAUACGCGGAGGA
rnacentral:misc_RNA from 1 species